AUUGAACGCUGGCGGCAGGCCUAACACAUGCAAGUCGAGCGGAUGAAGGGAGCUUGCUCCUGGAUUCAGCGGCGGACGGGUGAGUAAUGCCUAGGAAUCUGCCUGGUAGUGGGGGAUAACGUCCGGAAACGGGCGCUAAUACCGCAUACGUCCUGAGGGAGAAAGUGGGGGAUCUUCGGACCUCACGCUAUCAGAUGAGCCUAGGUCGGAUUAGCUAGUUGGUGGGGUAAAGGCCUACCAAGGCGACGAUCCGUCACUGGUCUGAGAGGAUGAUCAGUCACACUGGAACUGAGACACGGUCCAGACUCCUACGGGAGGCAGCAGUGGGGAAUAUUGGACAAUGGGCGAAAGCCUGAUCCAGCCAUGCCGCGUGUGUGAAGAAGGUCUUCGGAUUGUAAAGCACUUUAAGUUGGGAGGAAGGGCAGUAAGUUAAUACCUUGCUGUUUUGACGUUACCAACAGAAUAAGCACCGGCUAACUUCGU
rnacentral:rRNA from 1 species